rnacentral:rRNA from 1 species
AGAUUAAGCCAUGCAUGUCUAAGUAUAAGCAAUUAUACAGCGAAACUGCGAAUGGCUCAUUAUAUAAGUUAUCGUUUAUUUGAUAGCACCUUACUACUUGGAUAACCGUGGUAAUUCUAGAGCUAAUACAUGCUAAAAAUCCCGACUUCGGAAGGGAUGUAUUUAUUAGAUUAAAAACCAAUGCCCUCCGGGCUCUCUGGUGAUUCAUGAUAACUUCUCGGAUCGCAUGGCCUUGCGCCGGCGAUGGUUCAUUCAAAUUUCUUCCCUAUCAACUUUCGAUGUUUGGGUAGUGGCCAAACAUGGUGGCAACGGGUAACGGAGGGUUAGGGCUCGGCCCCGGAGAAGGAGCCUGAGAAACGGCUACUACAUCCAAGGAAGGCAGCAGGCGCGCAAAUUACCCAAUCCCGACACGGGGAGGUAGUGACAAUAAAUACUGAUACAGGGCUCUUUUGGGUCUUGUAAUUGGAAUGAGUACAAUUUAAAUCCCUUAACGAGGAACAAUUGGAGGGCAAGUCUGGUGCCAGCAGCCGCGGUAAUUCCAGCUCCAAUAGCGUAUAUUAAAGUUGUUGUGGUUAAAAAGCUCGUAGUUGAACCUUGGGCCUGGCUGGCCGGUCCGCCUCACCGCGUGUACUGGUCCGGCCGGGCCUUUCCCUCUGUGGAACCCCAUGCCCUUCACUGGGUGUGGCGGGGAAACAGGACUUUUACUUUGAAAAAAUUAGAGUGCUCCAGGCAGGCCUAUGCUCGAAUACAUUAGCAUGGAAUAAUGAAAUAGGACGUGCGGUUCUAUUUUGUUGGUUUCUAGGACCGCCGUAAUGAUUAAUAGGGACAGUCGGGGGCAUCAGUAUUCAAUUGUCAGAGGUGAAAUUCUUGGAUUUAUUGAAGACUAACUACUGCGAAAGCAUUUGCCAAGGAUGUUUUCAUUAAUCAGGAACGAAAGUUAGGGGAUCGAAGACGAUCAGAUACCGUCGUAGUCUUAACCAUAAACUAUGCCGACUAGGGAUUGGACGAUGUUAUAUCUUGACGCGUUCAGCACCUUACGAGAAAUCAAAGUGCUUGGGCUCCAGGGGGAGUAUGGUCGCAAGGCUGAAA